rnacentral:lncRNA from 1 species
AUGGCGACCAUCGUGGAAAACCUGACAGAUGGAGGCUCGAAGAAGGACAGAAUUCGACUGGCCAAAGAAAGAAGAGAGGAGAAAAAUAAGAGCCAAGCUGUGCGGGAGCAAGCUCUCUUGGAAAAGGAGCAGCGCGCACAGCAGCAGUAUGAACGCUCGCUGGUGGAGCGAGGGAGGCGUCUGGAGGAGCAGCGGCAAAAGGAGAUGCUCCGUCGUUCCGCCGUGGAGGAGAAAAGGAGCAGUGCAUUGGAGGAGGAAAAGGUCAGAGGUUACAGCCUAAACUUUUUUUCUUUGGGGUAUGCACUUAUAGGACAGAUAUGAAGCCGUGGAGGAGAAAAGGAAGCAGUGCAUGGAGGAGGAAAAGGUCAGAGGUUAACAGCCAAACUUUAUUUUCUUUGGGGUAUGCACUUAUAGGACAGAUAUGAAGCAUUUUUCUCAUAUCUGUGAAUUCUUUUAUUUUUGGAUUUGUUUUGUGUAAAAUUAUUAUAAAAUUAUGUUUUUUUUAUUAUGCAUAGUUUAUUUUAUUUUCCCAGCGUGCUUAAUGCUUGAUGUGGUGUGUGUAAUUUGUAGCUAUUAAAAUCUUAAACAUACAGUUUUUUGGCGUCAAAAACAAAUGCAGCAGAUAGGGGGAAAUAUUAAUAAUAUGCAAUACUUGUGAAAGUUUGAGGUCAGUAAGAUUUUCCUUUUCUUUCUUUUUUUUAUUUUUUAUUUAAAGAAAUUAAAACACAUUGUAUAGAUAUAUUAACAUAAUACAAUUAAUACAUUUAUUUAGCAAGGUUGCAUAAAGCUGAUCAAAAGGCAGACAUUUGUCUUUACAAAUUUUAC